rnacentral:rRNA from 1 species
CGGGACGGGUGAGUAAUGCUUGGGAAUCUAGCUUAUGGAGGGGGAUAACUACGGGAAACUGUAGCUAAUACCGCGUAAUAUCGAAAGAUUAAAGUGUGGGACCUUCGGGCCACAUGCCAUAAGAUGAGCCCAAGUGGGACUAGGUAGUUGGUGAGGUAAAGGCUCACCAAGCCGACGAUCUCUAGCUGGUCUGAGAGGAUGACCAGCCACACUGGGACUGAGACACGGCCCAG